UCUCCACCCAGAAGCAGGCCUGGCAACCAGGCUGAAACACCACUGGCAGAAACCCAGCACCCACACAGCCAGGCAUGGGCUGGGGUUCCCCAGGGAGGACCAUCAAUCUUCUCACCCACCUAAGGCAUUUGGCUGCGGCAGGAGGGCCUCAGAGUUCCUACCCGAUGCGGAGUGGGACCCAAAGGAACAGGAUGCCAGGCCUCUGCGGGUCACCCGUGGUGGUAUGUGUGAAACCCCCGGCAGAGAACCCAACGUGGGCCAUGGGCCCAUCCCCAUCGGCCCAGCUCAGCCUGGCAAGGAGGCAGCCAGGUCCCGGAGAGCAGGGGCCCCAGAGCCAGCUUCCAGAAUUGGGGGUGUCUCCCCAUCCUGACUUUCCUCCACAACCCACCUGGGGUCUGUCACUCUACACCACCCAAAGCUCUUUACAUCGUGCCCUGUGUUGCAAUUCAGUACAAGUGCCCUGUGCAGAAGGGUGGCCUUUUACUCAUUCCAGAAAUAAAUGGCCAUCAAGCACCCACUACAUGUGAUGCACUGUGCCGGGCACUGGGACACCGAGGGACUAAACCACCACACCAUCCCCGUGUUCACAGAGCUUCCCAGGAGAGGCACAGGUAAACAACCAACAACAAAUAAUUACAAAUUGGGUUAAGUGCUAUGAAGACAGGAAAGUGUAAUUAGCCUGUGCUCACCUCUCUCUGGCCCCCGAGGCCUGCCCUCAUUAUGGAAUACCCACAACUGCCUGACCUCUCCAGCACGCUGCUCGGCCGAGGACCUCGCUUACACCUGGCAUAGCAAAGGAUGUGACAACAGUUUAAGGAACAUUUGCUGAGCCCAACUGGAGACAAAAACAAUUUUUUUUAAUUUUUUUAACGUGUAUUUAUUUAUUUUUGAGAGAGAGAGAGAGAGAGAGAGAGACAGAGCAUGAGUGGGGGAGGGGCAGAGAGCGAGGAAGACACAGAAUCCGAAGCAAGGCUCCAGGCUCCGAGCUGUCAGCACCGAGCCCGACGCGGGGCUCGAACCCACGCACCGUGAGAUCAUGACCUGAGCCAGACACUUAACCGCCUGAGCCACCAGGUGCCCCCCAAAUUUUUUUUAAUUAAAAAAACAGCAAACUAUAUGCUAACUAAUUUGGAUGUAAAUUUUAAAAAAUAAAAAAUAAAAUUAAAAAAAAAAAA